AGUGAACGCUGGCGGUAGGCCUAACACAUGCAAGUCGAACGGCAGCACAGUAAGAGCUUGCUCUUACGGGUGGCGAGUGGCGGACGGGUGAGGAAUACAUCGGAAUCUACUUUUUCGUGGGGGAUAACGUAGGGAAACUUACGCUAAUACCGCAUACGACCUACGGGUGAAAGCAGGGGAUCUUCGGACCUUGCGCGAUUGAAUGGGCCGAUGUCGGAUUAGUUAGUUGGCGGGGUAAAGGCCCACCAAGGCGACGAUCCGUAGCUGGUCUGAGAGGAUGGUCAGCCACACUGGAACUGAGACACGUUCCAGACUCCUACGGGAGGCAGCAGUGGGGAAUAUUGGACAAUGGGCGCAAGCCUGAUCCAGCGAUACCGCGUGGGGGAAGAAGGCCUUCGGGUUGUAAAGCCCUUUUGUUGGGAAAGAAAAGCAGCAGGUUAAUACCCCGCUGUUCUGACGGUACCCAAAGAAUAAGCACCGGCUAACUUCGUG
rnacentral:rRNA from 1 species